rnacentral:rRNA from 1 species
GAUGAACGCUGGCGGCGUGCCUAAUACAUGCAAGUCGAGCGAAGCGGGGACGGGUGAGUAACAUGUGGAUAACCUCCUAUAAGACUGGGAAAAAUUCGGGAAACCGGAGCCAAACCGGCUUCUUAUAGAUGGAUCCGCUCUGCAUUAGCUAGUUGGUAGGGUAACGGCUUACCAAGGCAACGAUGCAUCGCGGACCUGAGAGGGUGAUCGGCCACACUGGAACUGAGAAACGGUCCAGACUCCUACGGGAGGCAGCAGUAGGGAAUCUUCCGCAAUGGGCGAAAGCCUGACGGAGCCACGCCGCGUGAAUGAUGAAGGUCUUCGGAUCGUAAAGCUCUGUUAUUAGGGAAGCGGUACCUAAUCAGGAAGCCACGGCUAACUACGUGCCAGCAGCCGCGGUAAUAC